rnacentral:rRNA from 1 species
GGCGGCCUACGGGAGGCAGCAGUGGGGAAUAUUGCACAAUGGGGGAAACCCUGAUGCAGCAACGCCGCGUGAAGGAAGAAGGCUUUCGGGUUGUAAACUUCUUUUCUCAGGGACGAAGAAAGUGACGGUACCUGAGGAAUAAGCCACGGCUAACUACGUGCCAGCAGCCGCGGUAAUACGUAGGUGGCAAGCGUUAUCCGGAUUUAUUGGGUGUAAAGGGCGUGUAGGCGGGAGCGCAAGUCAGAUGUGAAAACUCAGGGCUCAACCCUGAGCCUGCAUUUGAAACUGUGUUUCUUGAGGGCUGG